GUAGAUAGAAAAUAAAUAAUAGAAAAAAAUAGAUAGAAAAUAAAAAACUUAGAAGAAAAAAGUAGAAGAAGAAGAAGAAAAGAAGAAGAAGAAGAAAGAGGAGAGGAGGAGAAAGAGAAAAGAAAGAAGAAAUAGAAGAAGAGGAGGAGGAGGAGAAAAAAGAAUAAUAAUAAUAAUAAUAAUAAUAAUAAUAAUAAUAAGAAGAAGAAGAAGAAGAAGAAUAAGAAGA
rnacentral:lncRNA from 1 species